UUCAGAACCUACCAACUCCUCCGCUUGGGAAACCAUGCAGCAAAAACAUUUUGUAAAACGUCAUUCAGCCCCUCGGCCACCCGUAGCUCAUCUGCAAGCACAAACACAAUAGAAAUAGCAGAAAUCACGUGGGAAAGGCUACGUACACAAGUUAAAAGGGCAGCUUGGGAAAGCAACGCAGUUUGCAGGGAGGGGUGGUGAGAAAAUGAAAGCAAGGUAAAGGAAGUCUCAGCUCUACAUUUCAUGAACUGCAGGGACAGCUCCUCUUGAAAAACUGGCACAGGGGACAAAGGUGGCUCUGGCUUGUUUCCUUUCCUCCUCAGGAGAAAAGUGCCAGGGAGAAAACGGGGCGGCCGAGGCUUCGGAGGGAGCACUGGGCAGGGGUGCUCGCACUGGCUAGGCAGAGGAAGGAGGGACAUCCCUGACGCCUGCCACAGGAUUUGAGAUUUGGCCCUGUGCUUUGUGCCUGCGUGGAUCCCAUCGAGGAGUCUAGAAAUGACAGAGUUUAAAUGAACCCUGAAACGAGCAGGCAGAAGGCUGUUGGUAAAAGUGCAAACACCAGUCUGAGCCACAGUUACCACGUGAGAUUUGAGAACUGUGAUACUACUACCUUCAGUCUCAAAAAAAAA